CGAAUCGAUGAAGCCCAGCUUGCUGGGUGGAUUAGUGGCGAACGGGUGAGUAACACGUGAGUAACCUGCCCUUGACUCUGGGAUAAGCGCUGGAAACGGACGUCUAAUACCGGAUAUGACAACCGACGGCAUCGUCUGGUUGUGGAAAGAAUUUUGGUCAAGGAUGGACUCGCGGCCUAUCAGCUUGUUGGUGAGGUAAUGGCUCACCAAGGCGACGACGGGUAGCCGGCCUGAGAGGGUGACCGGCCACACUGGGACUGAGACACGGCCCAGACUCCUACGGGAGGCAGCAGUGGGGAAUAUUGCACAAUGGGCGAAAGCCUGAUGCAGCAACGCCGCGUGAGGGACGACGGCCUUCGGGUUGAAAACCUCUUUUAGCAG
rnacentral:rRNA from 1 species